UGGGGAAUAUUGCACAAUGGGCGCAAGCCUGAUGCAGCGACGCCGCGUGCGGGAUGGAGGCCUUCGGGUUGUAAACCGCUUUUGUUCAAGGGCAAGGCACGGUUUGGCCGUGUUGAGUGGAUUGUUCGAAUAAGCACCGGCUAACUACGUGCC
rnacentral:rRNA from 1 species